rnacentral:rRNA from 1 species
CCCUGUGAAUUAUACCUUUAAUUGUUGCUUCGGCGGGACUUCGCGCCCGCCGGGGACCCAAACCUUCUGAAUUUUUUAAUAAGUAUCUUCUGAGUGGUUAAAAAAAUGAAUCAAAACUUUCAACAACGGAUCUCUUGGUUCUGGCAUCGAUGAAGAACGCAGCGAAAUGCGAUAAGUAAUGUGAAUUGCAGAAUUCAGUGAAUCAUCGAAUCUUUGAACGCACAUUGCGCCCGUCAGUAUUCUGGCGGGCAUGCCUGUUCGAGCGUCAUUACGCCCCUCAAGUCCCCUGUGGACUUGGUGUUGGGGAUCGGCGAGGCUGGUUUUCCAGCACAGCCGUCCCUUAAAUUAAUUGGCGGUCUCGCCGUGGCCCUCCUCUGCGCAGUAGUAAAACACUCGCAACAGGAGCCCGGCGCGGUCCACUGCCGUAAAACCCCCCAACUUUUUAUAGUUGACCUCGAAUCAGGUAGGACUACCCGCUGAACUUAAGCAUAUCAAUAAGCGGAGGAAAAGA